GGUUCGAUGGCGUAGUUGGUUAUCGCAUCUGUCUAACAU
rnacentral:tRNA from 1 species